GUACGGGAGGCAGCAGUGGGGAAUUUUGGACAAUGGGCGCAAGCCUGAUCCAGCAAUGCCGCGUGCAGGAUGAAGGCCUUCGGGUUGUAAACUGCUUUUGUACGGAACGAAACGGCGAGCUCUAAUAAAGUUCGCUAAUGACGGUACCGUAAGAAUAAGCACCGGCUAACUACGUGCCAGCAGCCGCGGUAAUACGUAGGGUGCAAGCGUUAAUCGGAAUUACUGGGCGUAAAGCGUGCGCAGGCGGUGAUGUAAGACAGAUGUGAAAUCCCCGGGCUCAACCUGGGACCUGCAUUUGUGACUGCAUCGCUAGAGUACGGUAGAGGGGGAUGGAAUUCCGCGUGUAGCAGUGAAAUGCGUAGAUAUGCGGAGGAACACCGAUGGCGAAGGCAAUCCCCUGGACCUGUACUGACGCUCAUGCACGAAAGCGUGGGGAGCAAACAGGAUUAGAUACCCCGGUAGC
rnacentral:rRNA from 1 species